AGUGCCGCGACUGUUUCUUCGUUCCAACGCCCGCCUAGUGGUUUUUCUCCCAAACCAACACCACAGGCCUUCUUGGAACCUCUUCGCGAGCCUAGGGCUAAAGUCUCGUCGCCGUCCGCUACCGCAUGCGCCACCAGCCAUCGCCGUCCGCUACCACACGCGCCACUAGCCGUCGUUGGAAUGAUGUUUGGUUGCAGCAUGGGAGGUUUGCAUUCGAUUGGCACUUCUCCAAUAGUGUCGAAUAGGGUCACGAUGAUGAAGGUAGGACUCUCAUUGACAUAAUAAAUAAUAUUCUCCUUUCCCGUGCUAGACUGGUUAAGAAAUUUACUCUAGUGAUUGAUAAUUAUUAUCCUGAUUUGCGACAGAUCGA